CGCCUCUUGUUAAAAUAUAAGAGGUCCAGCCUGCCCAGUGAAAAUUAAACGGCCGCGGUAUACUGACCGUGCAAAGGUAGCAUAAUCACUCGUCCCUUAAAUAGGGACUUGUAUCAACGGCACCACGAGGGUUAUACUGUCUCCUUUUUCUAAUCAGUGAAACUGAUCUUCCCGUGAAAAAGCGGGGAUACAUCUAUAAGACGAGAAGACCCCAUGGAGCUUUAGACCAAAAGCAAGUUAAACUAAUAUAUCACUUCAACCCCUUACGUUAUGCACAUUGGUCUUAGGUUGGGGCAACCGCGGAGAAAAAGUUAACCUCCACAACGAAAAGACCCUACUCUUUAUUUCCGAGCUACCGCUCUAAAAAUUAGUAAACUAACGAUUAAUGAUCCGACUUAUGUCGAUCAAUGAACCAAGUUACCCUGGGGAUAACAGCGCAAUCUACUUUGAGAGCUCCUAUUGAUAAGUGGGUUUACGACCUCGAUGUUGGAUCAGGGUAUCCUGGUGGUGCAACCGCUACUAAAGG
rnacentral:rRNA from 1 species